AUGGCACUGAAAGCUAAGAAGGAGCCUCCCAAAGCUGAAGCCAAAACAAAGGCCUUGAAAGCUAAGAAGGCCGUGCUGAAAGGCGUCCGUAGCCACAAAAAGAAGAUCCAGGCACCACACACCUUCCUGCAUCUCUGGAGGCAGCCCUAAUAUGCUUGGAAGAGCAUGUCCAGGAGAAACAAGCUAGACCACUAUGCCAUCAUCAAAUUGCCCCUGACCACUGAGUCAGCCAUGGAGAGGACAGAAAACAACAACACAUUUGUGUUCACUGUGUAAGUCAAGGCCAACAAGCAGCAGAUCAAACAGGCUGUGAAGAAACUCUAUGACAUUGAUGUGGCCAAAGCCCAUACCCUGAUAGGGCCUGAAGGAGAGAAGGCCUAUGUUAGGUUGGUUCCUGAUUAUGAUGCUCUGGGUGUUGCCAACAAAAUUGGGAUCAUCUAA
rnacentral:lncRNA from 1 species